UACAGAGGUCCCAAGCGUUGUUCGGAUUCAUUGGGCGUAAAGGGUGCGUAGGCGGCGCGGUAAGUCGGGUGUGAAAUCUCGGGGCUUAACUCCGAAACUGCAUUCGAUACUGCCGUGCUUGAGGACUGGAGAGGAGACUGGAAUUUACGGUGUAGCGGUGAAAUGCGUAGAUAUCGUAAGGAAGACCAGUGGCGAAGGCGGGUCUCUGGACAGUUCCUGACGCUGAGGCACGAAGGCCAGGGGGGAGCAAACGGG
rnacentral:rRNA from 1 species